CGUGUUUUCAAGUGUAAGAAGUGUAACCCAGGGUAAAAACUGCCUUAGUCCCACCUUUGCUACUUCAUUGGUUAGAGUGACAGUCAGUCACACAGUGCAAUCAGCCAAUCACUGCACCUGAAGUAGGUUUUUCAGGCCUGCUCCAGCUUUCCCAAUCAGCUGUGAGAGGGAGAGCUGGAGACAAAGGAGCUGCAGAUCUGAAUAUCCAGUGAGCUUGGAGCCAUGAAGCUGCCAUGCACUGAUCUUUAAAAGGAAUUGGCCAGGUGAUUUCCCCUUUUUGGGGUUAAAGGAUGGCGAGCUUCUAAGAUCUGGCUGGAGCCAGGAGAACCGAAUUUCACUCCAUACUGGUCUGGUAGGAGUUUGAUGGUCCAUGAACUUUCCCCUCCUUCUUAUUACACAGACACACUACCCAUUAUUCACCCUUUCCAUCAGAGCUGAAUUGCGCUUGGACAUUUUUCCCUAAAGUUUCUGGAUAAACAAACUAUGGACUUUUAAAUGUGUGUCGGUCAGACACUGUGUUGACCAAGCGGGGAAAAGUGAAGGACUCUGUGCACAUUAGAACAUCAACUGCAGUAUUGUGUAUAUAUUUAUUGUAUUUUGGUUUCCAUGUAUGUUUUGUGUUUUGUAUUGUUUAUUUAAUUUUCUUCUUUAAAAAAUACAUAGUAUUGAAAACAGUUACUCUCUUGUAUUGUUUUAUUGAUUUCUGACGACAGCUCUAGCAGACGAAUUUAGUUUUUCUGAUGUCAGAAGCUAUUUAGUCCUUCAGUGCAUUAAGUACUGUUACAUUAUAAACAUCAAAU